rnacentral:rRNA from 1 species
CAGAGUGACAGGUGGUGCAUGGUUGUCGUCAGCUAGUGUCGUGAGAUGUUGGGUUAAGUCCCGCAACGAGCGCAACCCUUGAUCUUAGUCGCCAUCACUAAGUUGGGCACUCUAAGGUGACUGCCGGUGACAAACCGGAGGAAGGUGGGGAUGACGUCAAAUCAUCAUGCCCCUUAUGACCUGGGCUACACACGUGCUACAAUGGACGGUACAAAGAGCUGCAAGACCGCGAGGUGGAGCUAAUCUCAUAAAACCGUUCUCAGUUCGGAUUGUAGGCUGCAACUCGCCUACAUGAAGCUGGAAUCGCUAGUAAUCGCGGAUCAGCAUGCCGCGGUGAAUACGUUCCCGGGCCUUGUACACACCGCCCGUCACACCACGAGAGU